UACGUAGGGUGCAAGCGUUGUCCGGAAUUAUUGGGCGUAAAGGGCUCGUAGGCGGUCCAUCGCGUUGGGAGUGAAAAGCUGGGGCUUAACCCCAGUCCUGCUUCCGAUACGGGUGGACUAGAGGUAGGUAGGGGAGAUCGGAAUUCCUGGUGUAGCGGUGAAAUGCGCAGAUAUCAGGAGGAACACCGGUGGCGAAGGCGGAUCUCUGGGCCUUACCUGACGCUGAAGCGCGAAAGUCAGGGGAGCGAACAGG
rnacentral:rRNA from 1 species